AUUCCCAAAUUUUACCCCAAAAAUUCCCCAAAAUUUUACCCCAAAAAUCCAAAGUUUUACCCCAAAAAUUCCCCAAAGUUUUAUCCCAAAAAUUCCCCAAAAUUUUACCCCAAAAAUCCCAAAGUUUUACCCCAAAAAUUCCCCAAAAUUUUAUCCCAAAAAUUCCCAAAUUUUACCCCAAAAAUCCCAAAUUUGACCCCAAAGAUCCCAAAUUUUACCCCCAAAAUUCCCAAAUUUUACCCCAAAAAUUUUCAAAUUUUACCCCAAAAAAAUUCCCAAAAUUUUACCACAAAAAUCCCAAAUUUUACCCCAAAAUUCCCAAAUUUUACACCAAAAAUUCCCCAAAGUUUUACCCCAAAAAAUCCCCCAAAAUUUCACCCCAAAAAUUCCCAAAUUUUACCCCAAAAAUUCCCAAAUUUUACCCCAAAAAUUCCCAAAUUUUACCCCAAAAAUUCUCAAAUUUUACCCCAAAAAUGCCCCAAAAUUUUACCCCAAAAAUUCCCCAAAUUUUACCCCCAAAAUUCCCAAAUUUUCCCCCAAAAAUUCCCAAAUUUUACCCAAAAACUUCCCAAAUUUGACCCCAAAAAAUCCCAAAUUUUACCCCAAAAAUUCCCCAAAAUUUUACGCCAAAAUCCCAAAUUUUACCCCAAAAAUCCCCAAAUUUUCAACAAAAAUUCCCCAAAAUUUUACCCCAAAAAUUCCCCAAAGUUUUGCCCCAAAAAUUCCCAAAAUUUUACCCCAAAAAUCCAAAAUUUUAUCCCAAAAAUUCCCCAAAGUUUUACCCCAAAAUUUCCCCAAAUUUUCAACGAAAAUUCCCCAAAAUUUUACCCCAAAAAUUCCCCAAAUUUUACCCCAAAAAUCCUAAAUUUUACCCCACAAAUUCCCCAAAAUUUUACCCAAAAUUCCCAAAAUUUCUCCCCAAAAAUUCGCAAAUUUUACCCCAAAAUCCCAAACUUUACCCCAAAAAUUCCCCAAAUUUUACCGCAAAAAUUCCCUCAAAUUUUCAGCCAAAAAUUAAAAAUUUUCCCCCCAAAAUCCCCAAUUUUUAACCCCAAAAUCCUCAAAAUUACCCCCAAAAAUCCCAAAUUUUUCAACCCAAAAUUCCCAAAUUCCUGCAAAAAAUUCCCCAAAAUUUCCCCCCCAAAAUCCCAAAGUUUUACCCCAAAAAGUCCCCAAAUUUUCAAAAAAUCCCCAAAAUUUCUUCCCAAAAUCCCCAAAUUUUUCACCCCAAAAUUCCCAAAUUUCUCAUCAAAACUCCCCAAAUUUCCCACAAAAAUCCCAAAUUGUUCACCCAAAAUUCCAUUUUUUCCCCAAAAUCCCAAUUUUACCCCAAAACCUUCAAAAAUUUCCCCCCAAAAUUUCCCAAAUUUCUCCCCAAAAAUCCCCAAUUUUUAACAUCAAAAUCGUCAAAUUUCCCCCCAGAAAUCCCAAUAUUUUCACCCCUAAAUCUGAAAAUUCCAACCCCAAAAUUCCUAAAAUUUCCUCCCAAAAAUUCCCAAAAAUCCCAAACAUUUCUCCCCCCAAAUUCCCCAAUUUUCACCCCAAAAUUCCCCAAUUUCUCCCCCAAAUUCUUCAAAUUUCCCCCAGAAAUUCCAAUUUUUUCACCCCAAAAUUCCCAAAUUUUCCCCCAAAAUUCUCCAAAAAAAUCCCCAAAUUUCCCUCAAAAAUCCCAUUUUUUUUCCCCCAAAAUUCCCAUUUUUAUCCCCAAAUCCCAUUUUUUCUCCCCAAACUCCCAAUUAUCCCCCUAAAAUUCCCAUUUCCCCCAAAAAUUCCCAUUUUCCCCCAAAAUUCCCAAAUUUUCCCAAAAAUUCCCAUUUUCCCCCAAAAUUCCACAUCAAAUUUUCCAAAAAUUCAAAAAAUUUUCCCCCAAAAUUACCAUUUUUCCCCCAAAUUCCCAUAUUUUCCCCAAAAAAUCCCAUUUUUCUCCCAAAAUUCAAAAAUUUUCCCCAAAAUUUCCCACCAAAUUCCCAAUUUUCCCCCAAAAUUCCCAAAUUUUACCCCAAAAAUUUCGAUUCC
rnacentral:lncRNA from 1 species